AUAUGGAAGCUCCACUUUUCUAGUCGGGUGUUGUUGGGCUUUGUUAUCAUUUCACUUUGUAUCCCCUGUUGUAAUAUCUUCAUAUUAAAACUGUUAAAACUCACUUUUUGUUCCCCCCAAGUGUCAUUGAUGGGUUUUUUUCUACAUCUUCUAAUCUCACUGAACUGUUUGAGGCUGUUUUUCUCUUCAGUCUAACACCAGCAGCAGCAACGUCAGGAUUCCUUCACUCAACAUGGCUCCACUUCCACACAUGUUGGCGACGCUUCUUUUUGAUACGUGAAUCUGCUGAAGAUGGAUCCUGUUUGAACGGCUGACGCUUCAGCUGGUUUUCUGUUGCCCAUGUUUUCUACCUGUAGCAGGAUGUGGAUUGUUUGUCCUCUCUCUCCCGCCCUGCUCCUCCUCUGAUUGGUGGGCAGCACUGUGGAAACAGCAUGUAUUUAUGCGCCGGCUUGACGCACCUGUGUCUGAUUCCCCUCAGCGUCGUUACUGUGGCGUGGGUUGCUUAGCGCGCAGCUGCAUCGGGGUUUUGCACCAGCUUGUUAGCAGCUGUGGGACGCUCUGCUGUGGAAACGCGUGUCGCAGUGUUGGUUGGUGGUACUGCUCGCCCUCCGCCUCGGACCGGCUUGUGGUGGUCGCCGUAUCCGGAGGUAGGCCCGCUCCUUUGUGCUGCUGCUGCUCUUCUGAGCUGUGGGCCCCCGGAGUGUGGCAGCUGGAUCCCCUGGUGGUGGUGUCGUGUCCCCCGCCCACCUUUUUUAUUUAAUUGUGUUAGAAAUAAAAUUGUAGUUUGGGA